rnacentral:rRNA from 1 species
UACGUAGGGGGCAAGCGUUGUCCGGAAUCAUUGGGCGUAAAGCGCGUGUAGGCGGUUUCGUAAGUCUGCUGUGAAAGUCGGAGGCUCAACCUUCGAAAGCCGGUGGAUACUGUGAGACUUGAGUCCGGAAGAGGAGAGUGGAAUUCCUGGUGUAGCGGUGAAAUGCGCAGAUAUCAGGAAGAACACCCGUGGCGAAGGCGGCUCUCUGGGACGGUACUGACGCUGAGACGCGAAAGCGUGGGGAGCGAACAGG